rnacentral:rRNA from 1 species
ACUGCUCAGUAACACGUGGAUAACCUGCCCUUGGGUCCGGCAUAACUCCGGGAAACUGGAGCAUAAUUCCGGAUAACGCACAUAUGCUGGAAUGCUUUAUGCGUAAAAUGGAUUCGUCUGCCCAAGGAUGGGUCUGCGGCCUAUCAGGUAGUAGUGGGUGUAAUGUACCUACUAGCCUACGACGGGUACGGGUUGUGAGAGCAAGAGCCCGGAGAUGGAUUCUGAGACAUGAAUCCAGGCCCUACGGGGCGCAGCAGGCGCGAAAACUUUACAAUGCGGGAAACCGUGAUAAGGGGACACCGAGUGCCAGCAUCAUAUGCUGGCUGUCCAGGUGUGUAAAAUACACCUGUUAGCAAGGGCCGGGCAAGACCGGUGCCAGCCGCCGCGGUAACACCGGCGGCCCGAGUGGUGAUCGUGAUUAUUGGGUCUAAAGGGUCCGUAGCCGGUUUGGUCAGUCCUCCGGGAAAUCUGAUAGCUCAACUAUUAGGCUUUCGGAGGAUACUGCCAGACUUGGAACCGGGAGAGGUAAGAGGUACUACAGGGGUAGGAGUGAAAUCUUGUAAUCCCUGUGGGACCACCUGUGGCGAAGGCGUCUUACCAGAACGGGUUCGACGGUGAGGGACGAAAGCUGGGGGCACGAACCGGAUUAGAUACCCGGGUAGUCCCAGCCGUAAACGAUGCUCGCUAGGUGUCAGGCAUGGCGCGACCGUGUCUGGUGCCGCAGGGAAGCCGUGAAGCGAGCCACCUGGGAAGUACGGCCGCAAGGCUGAAACUUAAAGGAAUUGGCGGGGGAGCAC